GAUUGAUGGAGCUUCCGGAAGUCUUGGCGGCUGUACCAGCGCUAAUGUUCCUCCUUUUCCUGAGGUGGAGUGGGCCGAAGAGGUGGUCAGGUUGGGAAAUUUAGUGAGAAGCCUGGGUGGGGUGUUGCUGCGGUAGCCAUGUUAUAACCUGGCAAAUGGGACGCAUGAUAGUGACGUAAUUGCUGGAGUAGCUCCUGAGUUUCCGCAGAUGAGCCGCGGGAAAGGAGACGAGGGGCGGUGGCCAGGCGGUUGCCCUGACAACGGGGAACCGACCGACUCUUCCCGGUAGGGAGAGGCGAUGGCGGAAUUACUCCUCUAAUGUCAAGAUCCAGUUCUGAAAUUUAAAUUCCAGUUGGAUGCUGUGGAUCAGAGGAUGAUUUGCAACUUUCCACAGAAGCAACAGAGGAAUGAGAACAGCAGACGUGGCAAUUUGGCCACACUCCCCUUCCAUUAUGGGAUCAUAAGUAGAGUACGUUGACAUCGUCUAUUCCCAUAAACUGUUCAGGACAGCCACAAAAAAGAUCUAGUCCUUUGGGAUCUCCAGCACCAAAAAAAAAAAAAAAAAAAUAUCCAUGGCCGGGCACGGUGGCUCACAUCUAUAAUCCCAGCACUUUGGGAGGCCGAGGCAGGCAGAUCACCUGAGGUCAGGAGUUCAAGACCAGCCUAACCAACAUGGUGAAACUCUGUCUCUACUAAAAAUACAAAAAUUAGCUGGGCAUGGUGGCUUGUGCCUGUAGUCCCAGCUACUCCGGAGGCUGAGGCAGGAGAAUCACUCGAACCCUGGAGGUGGAGGUUGAGUGAGCCAAGAUCGCACCACUGCACUCCAGCCUGAGUGACAGAGUGAGACUCUGUCCCCCCACCUCCAAAAAAAAAAAAAACUAGUCUUGUAAAGGGGUUAACAGACCCCAGAUGAAGAAAGAGUCUAAUUAGAUUCUGUUGAAUUUGAGUGACAGAGGAAAAUAUUAUGACAAAAAAUGAAGAUUUAAAUUCCAGAAGCAUCAAAGUUUAGAUUUUUCUCUGCAGAAUAAAUACACAGCAGCCUUUUCUCCAUCUUAUUGAGCAGAGGGUUUCUCAAAUUAAGGACCCUCCAGUCCCAUCCUUCACACUGCCAUCAGCGAACUCCCCACUCGGCAAACCUGACUUGACACACCUUUGUGAGAAACCCACCAGUGGCUUCCAACUGUCUUCCCUGCUCAUGCUCCAAAAUCCAAUCACACUGUCCUGUCUCCCGUCACUCAGCCUGCUGCAACCAGUCAUUUCUGGGCCUUGGCACGUGCUGUUCCCUCUGCCUGAAUCCAUCUCUUCGUCUAGACAUGGUUAGGUUCCCCAGCUGUGCACUCCCCUGUACCUGGCACUGCCCUAUCAUCCCACUUUAUUGUAGGUGCUUGUUUAACUGUCUGCUCUCCCUGUGGAUGCUGUGGGAGCAGGGACCAUAUCUGUCUAGUUUGCCUUGGGAUCCCCAGAGCCUAGUACAGUCCCUGGGACAAAGUAGGAAGAGGAAUGGACUCAUCAAGUUAGACUUUUCCAAUCUGAAUGAUCUGUGUGCUGCCUGGAAAGCCUGGAGUAGGUUAAGAAAUGAAGACAGAAGGAUAAUGGGGUUGGAACGUGCAAAAGCUGCCUAAGAGGAAUGGACGACACAUGCCCCUCCUUGCUUUCUCUUCAGCUUACCCAGCUCCUGAACUGAUGAGCAAGAUCCAUGGAUUUCUUGCUGACCACAGUAACAGAAGAGACUAUAAAAUUCAGCUUUCCAUCUGGUUCUUCAUGGUCCAAGAAAAUACAGCAAUUUCAAACUCCGGGGAGACAUGCAUUCAAAUCAUGAAAGCUUAAACCUAGCCUGUCGUAGAAUCCCUUAAGAGUAGCAUGAAUUUGACUCAGGAAGAAAAGUGAAGAAGGCAUCAUUUACUCUAUAAGGAUCAAUUCCCUGGUGACCCUUAAAGGGGAUGAGUUGGAUGUUUCCUCAUAGCAGUUUUUCCCCUCUGGCCUUCAAAGCCAACCUGCUCAAUUCCACAGCUGGUCCUUGCGUCUCUUUCUUUCUGCCAGCGCCAACAUGCUCCUCAUGAGAAGGCCUAUCAUCAGCUAGUACUCGGCAGACUAGGCUGAAAGAGGAAGCUGGCCUUCCAAUGGGAGUGCUUUAACAUCUGUCCUCUUCCACUGUCCAAAACCUGGCUGCUACUUCAGUACAAAAAUGAUGCCUUUGCUUUUUAAUGUUUUAUGUUAGAACCAGGGUUAACUGAGAAUAGCUGGGGAGGGAUGAAAAAAGAAUCAGCGCCUCCUUUAUCUAAAAACAUCACAUGAGACACUCGGGCAUGCUCAGGAGUCUGAUUUCAUUCUUCUGGCCACCAGCACACCUUUGCUCCUGGCAGGAAAAAAAAAAAUAGGGCAAAGGUUCUGAAAAGCCAUCAAUAGGCUGGUCUCCUGGUAUUUGGGACCCAACUAGAGAAGGGAGUUUUCAGAAAUGUGCUAGAAAUACCAGCUCUGCAGAGAUUUGACAGCCGGUUUGAAGGCUUCAGGCAGUUUGGAUAAGCAUCUAGACUUUGGGUACAUUUCUGAGCCUGCUCUGUGAGUCCUUUGAAGUGUAUCCAACUUGAAUAAACCUUCCAGAUAGCUGGGGCCAGUGAAAAAGCUUUCUUUGGAAAUCCCCCUGGAAGUGCCUUGUUGCUUUCUCACAGGGCAGCCAGCCCAUCAGGACAAGAGAUCUAAAAAGUAGAGAAGGAAGAAGCUCAAGAGAGAAUGUUUCUAUAAUAUUCAAUUCACUGUCUUUUUUCCCCUUCCUAGCCUUUUUUACAUAGGGAGAAGGACACAACAGAUAGAUCACCAAACUCCCAGUGGACUUUGAGGACCGUGAGCUUAGAUCUGCUCGUGGCUUGCCCAUGAACUCUUUGUACUGAUACAACCUGGCUGUUUCUAAAGGCCUAGGCUAAGAUGUACAGGAAAAGUACCACGUAUAUUAGAAUAAUAAAGAAAAACAGGAGAUGUUAUUUGCCCUCCAGAAAGUCAUUGCUGGAAGCACUUAUAGAGAGCUAGUGACCAUGCAUUGGUACAGGCAGAAGGUUCCAUCUCAUUUCCCAGAGAAGCAUUCCCUGGAUGCCUAGGACAGAGCUGGAGCCUGUCUUCUCUCCUGUUUGCACAGGUAUUCUAAUCACAGAAUUACUGGAGCAUCAAGAAGUGCCUGCAUGCUUGGAAGGGCUUCCAGGCAGAUGAACACACCUCAGCACCGGGUGGCAUUUUCCCAGGGUGCAACCCGGACCGGCUCUGGGUCACACUGACAAGGUGAAGUGGAUGGGCAAAGAGUGGGUGGGGUACUGAACACGGGUUUCUUUAGGGAAUCAAAUAGGGAGGGACCUUUAAAGCAGGAAGUGGGACCUUCCAACGUGCUUUGGUUCACUUGAGAGAAGAGGCUGAGUGAUGCUCCUUCUCUAACUCAAGAGACGUAGGCAUGAAGAACAGGGCACAAGAUCCCGAGGAGCAAAGGGUCAUCAGCUGCCCCCAUCCAGCAGAAUCUCACAGCACCACUGGCUGACCACAGGCAAGGAGGGAAAUACCCUUUAUUUUUUAAUUUUUAUUUUUCGGAG
rnacentral:lncRNA from 1 species